GGCAGCACAGUAAGAGCUUGCUCUUAUGGGUGGCGAGUGGCGGACGGGUGAGGAAUACAUCGGAAUCUACUUUUUCGUGGGGGAUAACGUAGGGAAACUUACGCUAAUACCGCAUACGACCUUCGGGUGAAAGCAGGGGACCUUCGGGCCUUGCGCGAUUGAAUGAGCCGAUGUCGGAUUAGCUAGUUGGCGGGGUAAAGGCCCACCAAGGCGACGAUCCGUAGCUGGUCUGAGAGGAUGAUCAGCCACACUGGAACUGAGACACGGUCCAGACUCCUACGGGAGGCAGCAGUGGGGAAUAUUGGACAAUGGGCGCAAGCCUGAUCCAGCCAUACCGCGUGGGUGAAGAAGGCCUUCGGGUUGUAAAGCCCUUUUGUUGGGAAAGAAAAGCAGCGGGCUAAUACCUGGCUGUUCUGACGGUACCCAAAGAAUAAGCACCGGCUAACUUCGUGCCAGCAGCCGCGGUAAUACGAAGGGUGCAAGCGUUACUCGGAAUUACUGGGCGUAAAGCGUGCGUAGGUGGUUGUUUAAGUCUGUUGUGAAAGCCCUGGGCUCAACCUGGGAACUGCAGUGGAAACUGGAUGACUAGAGUGUGGUAGAGGGUAGCGGAAUUCCUGGUGUAGCAGUGAAAUGCGUAGAGAUCGGGAGGAACAUCCAUGGCGAAGGCAGCUACCUGGACCAACACUGACACUGAGGCACGAAAGCGUGGGGAGCAAACAGGAUUAGAUACCCUGGUAGUCCACGCCCUAAACGAUGCGAACUGGAUGUUGGGUGCACUUUGGCACGCAGUAUCGAAGCUAACGCGUUAAGUUCGCUGCCUUGGGGAGUACGGUCGCAAGACUGAAACUCAAAGGAAUUGACGGGGGCCCGCACAAGCGGUGGAGUAUGUGGUUUAAUUCGAUGCAACGCGAAGAACCUUACCUGGCCUUGACAUGUCGAGAACUUUCCAGAGAUGGAUUGGUGCUUCGGGAACUCGAACACAGGGCUGUAUGGCUGUCGUCUAGCCGUGUCAGGAGAUGUUGGGUUAAGUCCCGCAACGAUCGCAACCCUUGUCCUUAGUUGCCAGCACG
rnacentral:rRNA from 1 species